UACAGAGGUCUCAAGCGUUGUUCGGAUUCAUUGGGCGUAAAGGGUGCGUAGGCGGCGCGGUAAGUCGGGUGUGAAAUCUCGGGGCUUAACUCCGAAACUGCAUUCGAUACUGCCGUGCUUGAGGACUGGAGAGGAGACUGGAAUUUACGGUGUAGCGGUGAAAUGCGUAGAUAUCAGGAGGAACACCGGUGGUGUAGACGGCUUUCUGGACCGUAACUGACGCUGAGACACGAAAGCGUGGGUAGCAAACAGG
rnacentral:rRNA from 1 species